AAUAUUGGACAAUGGGGGCAACCCUGAUCCCGCCAUGCAGCGUGUGUGAAGACGGUCUUCGGAUUGUAGAGCACUUUAAGUUGUGAGGAAGGGCUUUAGGCUAAUACCCUGAAGCUGUGACGUUACGAACCGAAUAAGCACCGGCUAACCCUGUCCCAGCCGCCGCGGUAAUACAGAGGGUGCAAGCGUUAAUCGGAAUCACUGGGCGUAAAGCGCGCGUAGGUGGUUCAGUAAGAUGGGUGUGAAAUCCCCGGGCUUAACCUGGGAACUGCUUUCAUAACUGCUGAGCUAGAGUACGGUAGAGGGUAGUGGAAUUUCCUGUGUAGCGGUGAAAUGCGUAGAUAUAGGAAGGAACACCAGUGGCGAAGGCGACUACCUGGACUGAUACUGACACUGAGGUGCGAAAGCGUGGGGAGCAAACAG
rnacentral:rRNA from 1 species